rnacentral:rRNA from 1 species
AGGACGAACGCUGGCGGCGUGCUUAACACAUGCAAGUCGAGCGGAAAGGGCCCUUUCGGGGGGUACUCGAGCGGCGAACGGGUGAGUAACACGUGAGUAAUCUGCCCUUGGCUUUGGGAUAACUACCGGAAACGGUGGCUAAUACCGGAUAUGACCAUGCUCGGCAUCGGGUGUGGUGGAAAGUUUUUUCGGCCAGGGAUGUGCUCGCGGCCUAUCAGCUUGUUGGUGGGGUAAUGGCCUACCAAGGCUUCGACGGUAGCCGGCCUGAGAGGGUGACCGGCCACACUGGGACUGAGACACGGCCCAGACUCCUACGGGAGGCAGCAGUGGGGAAUAUUGGACAAUGGGCGGAAGCCUGAUCCAGCAACGCCGCGUGAGGGAUGACGGCCUUCGGGUUGUAAACCUCUUUCAGUACCGACGAAGCGCCGAUGAUGGUGGUGACGGUAGGUACAGAAGAAGCACCGGCCAACUACGUG